AGUGAACGCUGGCGGUAGGCCUAAUACAUGCAAGUCGAACGGCAGCACAGUAAGAUCUCGCCCUUACGGGUGGCGAGGGACGGACGGGUGAGGAAUACAUCGGCAUCUACUUAGACGGGGGGGACAACGGAGGGAAACAGACGCUAAUAGCGCAUAUGAUCAACGGGAGGGAGCAAGGGUGCUUGAGAGUUUUGGCGAUACAAUGAGACGAAGUCGGAUUAGCUAGUUGGCGGGGUAACGGCCCACCAAGGCAACGAUCCGUAGCGGGGCUGAGAGGAUGAUCAGCCACACUGGAACUGAGACACGGUCCAGACUCCUACGGGAGGCAGCAGUGGGGAAUCUUGGACAAUGGGCGCAAGCCUGAUCCAGCCAUACCGCGUGGGUGAUGAAGGCCUUCGGGUUGUAAAGCCCUUUUGUUAGGGAAGAACAGCUGCAGAUUAAUCCCUCCCUGUUCUGACGGUACCCAAAGAAUAAGCCCCGGCUAACUUCGUG
rnacentral:rRNA from 1 species